CCAACUAUCCCUAUUAAUCAUUACGUCAAUCCUAGAAACCAACAAAAUAGGAUCGAACGUCCUAUUUCAUUAUUCCAUGCUAAUGUAUUCAAGCGUUAGCCUGCUUUAAACACUCUAAUUUUUUCAAAGUAACAGUCCAGUUUCCCCGCAACACCAAAUUAAUGGCAUUACGGUUCAUCAGGAAGGAGGAAUCAGUGAGACCAGUACAUACCUGAGGCACGACCAACCUACUGACCCCGAAAUUCAACUAC
rnacentral:rRNA from 1 species